rnacentral:lncRNA from 1 species
GUAAACUUUGUAAAUAAUCAGCUUCAGAACUAUAGUGCUUAAGAUUUAUAAAGAGCCCUGCCUUACUUGAGAUAAGGCUCUGUCCCAUCUCACUACAUGUGAAAGAUGCUAUAAAAGAAGUAAGCCAGAUUUCGGUACAGUUAAAGUUGUGUCCAAAAGUAGGUUUUUGCCAAGAUUACUAGGAUCUCAAAUAGGAAAUUAUGAUUUAUAACCCUGCCAGAAUUCAAGGUAGCUAUUUUGUAAGCUAAAUAUGUUUUUACCAUAGUUAGUUUUGUUUUGUAGUUUGCUUAUAGAUGGUUUAAGGAUUGCCUGUUAAUGUUUUAAAGAGAUAUUGCUUUAAGAACACAACCUGGGUAAACAAAAGAUAAGGAGUUAUCACCUACAGCAUAGAGAGAUAGACCUUAAAGCCCAGUGCUCUUAAUAUAAGGUUGUUAACUUAUUUGUUGGAUGUUUAAGAUCACGUUUUUAAAAUUAGUUAAAUUAAAAGGGCAAAGAAAACCAAUAUUUGGCUCUUGCCCUCUGAGUCAGUCUGAAUCAGGGAAUAGGGGACUUCUCCAAAGGGCUCUGCAACUCUAGGCAACAUAACCUCCUGAGCAGGGAGAUUAAUGAGACCAGUGGAGGACAGAAAGCCAAUCAGUGCAUUUGCUGUAAAGAGGAGGGUCAUCAGAAAGGGGAGACAUCCCUGAUGCUUCCGAGGGAAUCCACAUUGUCAAGCAAGGCCUGGACCCAUCCUAAGGUAAAUGGCACUAGCAGAACUGAGAAGCUACUAUAAAGUUCCCCUGAGGACUCCCAGGGAAACUCAGCUGACUGUUGACAAUAGAUAAGAACAAAAGUCAGUUUGACUUGCUUCAUCUUAAACACUUAGCAAAGACAGUUAAAGCCAAAGCAAAGUUGUUCCUGGACAUUUUAAAUGAUAAUAAUAGUUAAAUGUAACUUCCAAAAAUAAGUAAACUGGAGGCUACAAAAGAGAUUCUCAGACGGGAAUGUCUGAUAACUAUUAAAAGAAACUGCCAGAGUACUUUUUAGUUUAAGGCCCACAGAUAUUCCUAACCUACACAGGUAGGCUUGGUGUUUGCUAGUAUGGUUAUCCAGCCCUAAGUAACAGAAUUAAAGGUUUCUCUAUUAGACACACAGGUCAUACUAGUAAAAGGAUUUUGCAAGAUCAGAUGACAUUAAAUUAUUAGACUAUAUCUUAAAGGAAAGGACAUCUGUAAACCUAAAUGUUACUUGUUGUGUUUAUAUCCCUGACAUUUCUGGCAAGGUGACAAAUAUCCUUAAAGAUUUACAUGCUCAGAUAGAAGCCAUGUCCUCAGCAACUUUGUCAUGAAAACAAUAUCUUAGCUUCUGGUUCUUGGUACUUCCUUGUAAAAAACAUUGUUAGUCUCUGUCUUGGCCAUUAUACUCAUUGGCAUAUUCCUGUGCUGUGACUUUAUUGCUGCAUCAAUAUGGUUCCAGUAAAUUAAUAAAUUCUUGUUUCUCUUAUAGAACACCCAUCACUUGAAUGGCCCUCCAGCCUAAUACUUCUCAAUUGGACUUUUUUCAUGGACCACUCGAUAGACCCGAUUAUUAAAGGGGGACUCCAAACUGCUUGCCACACAGCGUCACUUUUCAGCCUGAAGAAGCCAGAAAGAUUCUCUUCGCCCCCCCUUCCUUACAGCAGUAAGGAGUUCCCAAAUUAGAGGGGGGGGAAUGAAGCCAGAUGUAAAGUUAGGUAGUCAGUGUAGUUAGAUAAAUCGGGAUCUAAUACCGAGUGAAAACUAAAAUGGAGGCCAUGCAGAAAAUGAUUCCAGGGAAUGCAAAACAACUCAUGAAAUGUGAAAACCUUCAAUAAUCAUGAUGCAUUACUUUUAAGAUUAAAAGUAGUCAGAAAAAAAGGAGUGGGGAAUGUAAGGGUAAAAAAAAAAUUGAAGUUAAAGCAUAAAAGUUAAAGGGUAAAAGACCGGGCGUUGUAGUUUCUAAGCUGCAAGGUCUGAGUUAAAAUGUAAAGGAUUAGGUAUUGUUAGGUUUCUAUGCUACCUGCAGAACCUGAAAACCCUGCAGCUGUUAGAACAAUACUGGAACUGCCCAGUAAAUAUUCCCACUGACUUGUUGGUUGUCCAAUAACUCGGGACACUGUGUAACUGUUCAUGUAGACCUUUAGGCCCCAAAACCAAUCAGUUUGAAUGUGUACCCCAUUUAGAAAGGACCUAUCUCUCCAGCCUGACCUGUUCCCGACAAUGAAUGAACUAAUCAUGUUUAGGAGUUGUUGCUUAAUUUUCCCGCGGUGUAUAAUGAUUUGUUAAAGGAGACUGUGAUAUAUGUAAAAUCCCUGCCCUCCCAAAAGUGUACUUAAGGAGUGCUCAUCUUCUGCUCGUGGCUCUGGGCUGUUUUCCCUUCUUGAGUGGGCACGGAGCCCCAGCAUGCUGGUUCAAUAAAUCCCCUUCUGCCAAUUUCAUGAGUGGUCA